rnacentral:ncRNA from 1 species
CAGGGAUGAAAACACAGCGCGGUUGGUAGUCCGUGCGCCGGGGCCUGCCUGGUCAGUAACCCUCCCUCCCAUGGGUCGUCCGUUCCCUGCGGAU